AUAGUUUUGAUUCCUAAUCUACCACACACUACUUAUUUUUCCACUAAUACCAUUAUUUAUUAACUAAAAAGACUAUUAUAACCCUCUUAUAAACUCAAGAUUAGAGACGCUUUUGCAAUCUCGUUCUCCAUCUCUCUACCGUCUUUAUCGUCAUGCUCAGACGGUGAGUUCUUAUUGUCUCCGAUGAGAGUACUCUGUCUAUCUACGACGUUGCUCAUCUUCGUCUUCCUCCGACGUCGUGAAACUGAUUUGACAAUUAGAAGCGUUUCACUUCCAUCGACAGCAAUCUCGUCAUUCACCAAUCCUCCACCAGAUCUGAGGGUUUGUAAAGCCUCGAUUCUGAUGAAUCUGUCGAGUUCGAGGUCGAGAUCAACAACAAUGGUCUUUCCAAAGCCAUCAACGUGUCUAGACCCGCGACGCAACCAUCAACAGUGGUGGUUCAUUUGGUAGUCGCGGCACGGAAGAAGGUUUGUGGACAUGAGUCGAUGGUGCUUGAGACCAAUUCGUCCCUAGGCUCGACAUGCUCUUCAAUUCCUUUGAGCAAUUAACCUCGAUGAUAAUAUAGCAAAUUUGCAAGUCAAAUUUUCUCUAAUAGAAUUGGUGACAAGGAGUUUCAUCGACAAAGGGGAAGUGAGAUCUCAGUUCGAUUAUAUCUUCAACUGCUGAAAAAGGGGUUCCUCAAUUUCUUCUUGAUCCGGUUCUAUAGGCUGUUCACAUUACACUCAAGUGACCUAUGAUAUACAUGGUGCAUAUAUUUUAGGAGUUGAUGAUAAAGAUAAGAAAAUACUUGACUUUAAGUUUGAAUUCAGGUUAUUGUGGAAGACCUCUCUAAAAUUCAAGAACUCCUUCCUAAAAGUUAUAGAAUUCUUCCUAAUUUUAAGGAAAUGUGUUUUUAAAUCUCUAUAUCUAUGGUUUGCAUCUAUGUUUUACUACAUUAGUAAGAGAUAAUGAUUUGAUUCUGUGCA